rnacentral:rRNA from 1 species
ACGGGAGGCAGCAGUGGGGGAUAUUGCACAAUGGAGGAAACUCUGAUGCAGCAACGCCGCGUGAGGGAAGAAGGUCUUCGGAUUGUAAACCUCUGUUUUUGGGGACGAAACAAAUGACGGUAGCCAAAGAGGAAGCCACGGCUAACUACGUGCCAGCAGCCGCGGUAAUACGUAGGUGGCGAGCGUUGUCCGGAUUUACUGGGUGUAAAGGGUGCGCAGGCGGGACUGCAAGUUAGAUGUGAAAUACCGGAGCUUAACUCCGGAACUGCAUUCAAAACUGUAGUUCUUGAGUGGAGUAGAGGUAAGCGGAAUUCCGAGUGUAGCGGUGAAAUGCGUAGAUAUUCGGAGGAACACCAGUGGCGAAGGCGGCUUACUGGGCCAUAACUGACGCUGAGGCACGAAAGUGUGGGUAGCAAACAGGAUUAGAUACCCUAGUA